CGAACUAGGCGGUCGGGAAGCCUAGUGGUUAAAGCACCCGCUAAAGACCCGGGUUGUAUUCCUGACAUGGUUAUAAUGUGUGAAGCCCAUUUCUGGUGUGCCCCGCUGCGAUAUUGCUGGAAUAUUGCUAAAAGCGGCGUAAAACCAUACUCACUCACUCACUCACUCACAUCUGCAUUUCUUCUAUUUCAUUAUGUAUUUAGAAUUUCAUGCUGUAAAAACUGUAUUUUAGUCCAGAUACUACUGAGUUGUAUUGACAUUGAUAUAUGUAAUGAAAUCAUGAACUGAUACAAGCUUUGUUAUUGAAUACAAGAGCAUUCCUUUCACAAAUGUUUGAUUGAAAUGCCUUCCUCCUUAUUGAGUUCA